rnacentral:lncRNA from 1 species
CUUCCCAUGGGGACAAAAGAAUGAUCUCUUCAGGACGACAUUUCUUUCUCUCCCGAUUGUUAUAACAGACGUGAUACAUGCAAAAUGCCUGGCCCAGAAUAGGAGCACGUGACGGUCCUGUAAGUUGGUUCACUCAAAAUCUAUUCUCCAACAUCUCCUUCUUGGCCUUCCUCUACUAGAGAAGAGAGAAGAGGAAAUGAUACUCAAGCUUCCAGCUCCCCUGUACUUAGGGGUGGCCACAAAACCCAGCUACGGCCAAUGAGAGGAAGGUAGAAGUCCUUGACUUUUCCAAAUCUAAAAGCAGAGCUUCUGAGCAGCAAGUCCUUACUCCUCUGUUCUUCCCUCAUACCUUCUUGCCUGGAACUCAACUUGAGGGUAGAGGUAGAGCAGCCAUCUUGUAGUCAUGAGGUAACGAGCACAGAUCAGAAGUGAAGAAUGAUGGGGUAGCAAGACAAAAAGUACUGAGUGCUUAAUGACAUCACUGAGCCACUAUUUUAGCCCAUGGCUACCUGCCCAGAAAUUUAUUGUUGUGUGAGACAACCGCCUUCCUGGUAUGAGCCAAUGUUUGUUGGGGUUUCUGCUAUGUGAAGCAAAUGCAAUCAAUAACAACAGCUAUCAUCACCAUCAUCAUCCCCACCACCAUCACCGCUAUCAUCACCAUCUCUGCUCUCCUGCAUCUGCAACAACCUCCAGCUCGCAGCUUUAGAUUUUAUUAUCUAAUUGGGAGCCAAUUAAGACUUACUAAAUGAACCUCUGAAGUGUCAUUUCCCAGGGAGUAUUCCAAGAAACAUCGGUUCUUCCAGAUAUUAAUAGAUGUUCUGAGAAAAG